rnacentral:rRNA from 1 species
CCUACGGGAGGCAGCAGUGAGGAAUAUUGGUCAAUGGACGAGAGUCUGAACCAGCCAAGUAGCGUGAAGGAUGACUGCCCUAUGGGUUGUAAACUUCUUUUAUAUGGGAAUAAAAUGUUCCACGUGUGGGAUUUUGUAUGUACCAUAUGAAUAAGGAUCGGCUAACUCCGUGCCAGCAGCCGCGGUAAUACGGAGGAUCCGAGCGUUAUCCGGAUUUAUUGGGUUUAAAGGGAGCGUAGGUGGAUUGUUAAGUCAGUUGUGAAAGUUUGCGGCUCAACCGUAAAAUUGCAGUUGAAACUGGCAGUCUUGAGUACAGUAGAGGUGGGCGGAAUUCGUGGUGUAGCGGUGAAAUGCUUAGAUAUCACGAAGAACUCCGAUUGCGAAGGCAGUUCACUGGACUGCAACUGACACUGAGGCUCGAAAGUGUGGGUAUCAAACAGGAUUUGAUACCCGAGUAGUC